CGGAGGGAUCAUUACCGAGUUUACAACUCCCAAACCCAUGUGAACAUACCUACUGUUGCUUCGGCGGGAUUGCCCCGGGCGCCUCGUGUGCCCCGGAUCAGGCGCCCGCCUAGGAAACUUAACUCUUGUUUUAUUUUGGAAUCUUCUGAGUAGUUUUUACAAAUAAAUAAAAACUUUCAACAACGGAUCUCUUGGUUCUGGCAUCGAUGAAGAACGCAGCGAAAUGCGAUAAGUAAUGUGAAUUGCAGAAUUCAGUGAAUCAUCGAAUCUUUGAACGCACAUUGCGCCCGCCAGUAUUCUGGCGGGCAUGCCUGUCUGAGCGUCAUUUCAACCCUCAUGCCCCUAGGGCGUGGUGUUGGGGAUCGGCCAAAGCCCGCGAGGGACGGCCGGCCCCUAAAUCUAGUGGCGGACCCGUCGUGGCCUCCUCUGCGAAGUAGUGAUAUUCCGCAUCGGAGAGCGACGAGCCCCUGCCGUUAAACCCCCAACUUUCCAAGGUUGACCUCAGAUCAGGUAGGAAUACCCGCUGAACUUAAG
rnacentral:rRNA from 1 species